UACGGAGGGGGCGAGCGUUAUUCGGAAUUAUUGGGCGUAAAGGGCGCGUAGGCGGCCUGAUAAGUCAAAGGUGAAAUCCCUCGGCUCAACUGAGGAAUUGCCUUUGAAACUGUCAGGCUUGAGGCCGGGAGGGGGUGGCGGAAUUCCUGGUGUAGCGGUGAAAUGCGCAGAUAUCAGGAGGAACACCAAUUGCGAAGGCAGCUCGCUGGGACGUUACUGACGCUGAGACGCGAAAGCGUGGGGAGCAAACAGG
rnacentral:rRNA from 1 species